UACAGAGGGUGCGAGCGUUAAUCGGAAUUACUGGGCGUAAAGCGUGCGUAGACGGUAGCGUAAGUCAGAUGUGAAAGCCCCGGGCUCAACCUGGGAAUUGCAUUUGAGACUGCUCUGCUCGGGUGCGGAAGAGGGAAGCGGAAUUUCCGGUGUAGCGGUGAAAUGCGUAGAUAUCGGAAGGAACACCAGUGGCGAAGGCGGUUCUCUGGGCCUUACCUGACGCUGAGGAGCGAAAGCGUGGGGAGCGAACAGG
rnacentral:rRNA from 1 species